UACGUAGGGUGCAAGCGUUGUCCGGAAUUAUUGGGCGUAAAGAGCUCGUAGGCGGUUUGUUGCGUCGGCUGUGAAAUCCCGAGGCUCAACCUCGGGUCUGCAGUCGAUACGAGCAAACUAGAGUGUUGCAGGGGAGACUGGAAUUCCUGGUGUAGCGGUGAAAUGCGUAGAUAUCUGGAGGAACACCGGUGGCGAAGGCGGCGUUCUGGACUGCUACUGACACUGAGGAACGAAAGCCAGGGGAGCAAACGGG
rnacentral:rRNA from 1 species